GAACUAGCAGAGAUCUGCCUACCUCUUAGUCCGGAAUCCUGGCAUUAAAGGUUUAUGUGGUGGAAAUUCGUGCCCCACGUUGUUUGUGGCCAAUUUGAAAUGUGAAGUUCUUGGCCCAUGUUUGGCCCACCUCUCUUCUC